rnacentral:rRNA from 1 species
GAUGAACGCUGGCGGCGUGCCUAACACAUGCAAGUCGAACGAAGCGCCUUUUAAGAUUCUUCGGAUGAUUGAUCGGUGACUGAGUGGCGGACGGGUGAGUAACGCGUGGGCAACCUGCCCUGUACAGGGGGAUAACAGUUGGAAACGGCUGCUAAUACCGCAUAAGCGCACGAGAGGGCAUCCUCUUGUGUGAAAAACUCCGGUGGUACAGGAUGGGCUCGCGUCUGGUUAGCUGGUUGGCAGGGUAACGGACUACCAAGGCGACGACCAGUAGCCGGUCUGAGAGGAUGAACGGCCACAUUGGAACUGAGACACGGUCCAAACUCCUACGGGAGGCAGCAGUGGGGAAUAUUGCACAAUGGGGGAAACCCUGAUGCAGCAACGCCGCGUGAGUGAAGAAGUAUUUCGGUAUGUAAAGCUCUAUCAGCAGGGAAGAUAAUGACGGUACCUGACUAAGAAGCUCCGGCUAAAUACGUGCCAGCCGCCGCGGUAA